rnacentral:rRNA from 1 species
AUUGAACGCUGGCGGCAUGCUUUACACAUGCAAGUCGAACGGCAGCACGGACUUCGGUCUGGUGGCGAGUGGCGAACGGGUGAGUAAUACAUCGGAACGUGCCCAGUUGUGGGGGAUAACUACUCGAAAGAGUAGCUAAUACCGCAUGAGAACUGAGGUUGAAAGCAGGGGAUCGUAAGACCUUGCGCAACUGGAGCGGCCGAUGGCAGAUUAGGUAGUUGGUGGGAUAAAAGCUUACCAAGCCGACGAUCUGUAGCUGGUCUGAGAGGACGACCAGCAAGACUGGGACUGAGACACGGCCCAGACUCCGACGGGAGGCAGCAGCGGGGAAUUUUGGACAAUGGGCGAAAGCCUGAUCCAGCAAUGCCGCGUGCAGGAUGAAGGCCUUCGGGUUGUAAACUGCUUUUGUACGGAACGAAAAGCUUCGGGUUAAUACCCUGGAGUCAUGACGGUACCGUAAGAAUAAGCACCGGCUAACUACGUGCCAGCCGCCGCCGUAACAC